rnacentral:pre_miRNA from 1 species
AGUUAAAAAAUUCAUCCAAUUAUACUUUUAAAAAUUGGUGUGGUUGACGAAAUAACUAGACAGUACUAACAUGUGACAUACCACUUGUACGUCAUGGCGUCUAGGUAUCCAUUUUUAAUAGCAUAGAUGGAUAAAAUUUUCAAUA